AUUGAACGCUGGCAGCAGGCCUAACACAUGCAAGUCGAGCGGAUGAAGGGAGCUUGCUCCUGGAUUCAGCGGCGGACGGGUGAGUAAUGCCUAGGAAUCUGCCUGGUAGUGGGGGAUAACGUCCGGAAACGGGCGCUAAUACCGCAUACGUCCUGAGGGAGAAAGUGGGGGAUCUUCGGACCUCACGCUAUCAGAUGAGCCUAGGUCGGAUUAGCUAGUUGGUGGGGUAAAGGCCUACCAAGGCGACGAUCCGUAACUGGUCUGAGAGGAUGAUCAGUCACACUGGAGCUGAGACACGGUCCAGACUCCUACGGGAGGCAGCAGUGUGGAAUAUUGGACAGUGGGCGAAAGCCUGAUCCAGCCAUGCCGCGUGUGUGAAGAAGGUCCUCGGAUUGUAAAGCACGUUAAGUGGGGAGGAACGGCAGUAAGUUAAUACCUUGCUGUUUUGACGGUACCAACAGAAUAAGCACCGGCUAACUUCGUG
rnacentral:rRNA from 1 species